AACGAACGCUGGCGGCAUGCCUAACACAUGCAAGUCGAACGAAGUCUUCGGACUUAGUGGCGCACGGGUGAGUAACGCGUGGGAACCUGCCCUUCGGUACGGAAUAACGUCGGGAAACUGACGCUAAUACCGUAUAUGUCUCCGGGAUGAAAGAUUUAUCGCCGGGGAGGGCCCGCGUCCGAUUAGCUAGUUGGUGAGGU
rnacentral:rRNA from 1 species